rnacentral:lncRNA from 1 species
AGAUUUUUAUGCUUGUUCACUCUACUAUUUUUUUUUUUUUUUUUUAUAUUAGUUUCUAAUUCUUUUCUUUCUUAUUUCAAGUGUAUAUUUGGGAGUGCAUUUGGGGUCCCAUGGCUUAACUCCAUUUUUGUCCUAAUUAGAGAAGCAAAUAAACAUUGCAUUACACAUUUGCGUCUAUCAGUUUAGUAUCUCUUUCCUUCUUUUCAAGCUUUAUUUUUCUUUUGUAGACACUUAUUAUUAAUUUAUGUAAUACUUCGCACAUUAUUAUUGGGAAUUUGUGUUUUAUAUGUCUCAUUUGGAU